UACGGAGGGUGCAAGCGUUAUCCGGAUUCACUGGGUUUAAAGGGUGCGUAGGCGGACAGGUAAGUCAGUGGUGAAAUCUCUGGGCUUAACCCAGAAACUGCCGUUGAUACUAUUUGUCUUGAAUAUCCUGGAGGUAGGCGGAAUAUGUCAUGUAGCGGUGAAAUGCUUAGAUAUGACAUAGAACACCGAUAGCGAAGGCAGCUUGCUACACAAUUAUUGACACUGAGGCUCGAAAGCGUGGGGAUCAAACAGG
rnacentral:rRNA from 1 species